GAUGAACGCUGGCGGCGUGCCUAAUACAUGCAAGUCGAGCGAACGGACGAGAAGCUUUCUUCUCUGAUGUUAGCGGCGGACGGGUGAGUAACACGUGGAUAACCUACCUAUAAGACUUGGAUAACUUCGUGAAACCGGAGCUAAUACCGGAUAAUAUUUUGAACCGCAUGGUUCAAAAGUGAAAGACGGUCUUGCUGUCACUUAUAGAUGGAUCCGCGCCGCAUUAGCUAGUUGGUAAGGUAACGGCUUACCAAGGCAACGAUGCAUAGCCGACCUGAGAGGGUGAUCGGCCACACUGGAACUGAGACACGGUCCAGACUCCUACGGGAGGCAGCAGUAGGGAAUCUUCCGCAAUGGGCGAAAGCCUGACGGAGCAACGCCGCGUGAGUGAUGAAGGUCUUCGGAUCGUAAAACUCUGUUAUUAGGGAAGAACAUAUGUGUAAGUAACUGUGCACAUCUUGACGGUACCUAAUCAGAAAGCCACGGCUAACUACGUG
rnacentral:rRNA from 1 species